UGGUCUUUCUGGUGUAUAUUUGUGGAUUAUCCCUCAUUAAAUCAUGUUUAUUUGGGUGUAAAACUAGUCUCUGUUCCAUUUUAAGUCUCUGCACGAGAAGCGCCAGUCUCUGCUCCUCCGGGUGCGCUGUGCACGCGGCUACCGUAAUACACGGCUUAGACGCGCACUCCAGUUCUCGGUGUAGAUAGCGCGACCGAGCGUUUUCUAAGUGCAGAUGGCGUGACCGCGAUAUAAUUCCAAUGGAAAGACCAAAAAGACUUCUUCCUCAAAAAUAUGUGGACAAUGAAGAGACAGGUGUGACCAAGGAUGAAGCAUCAAGACAAGAAAGAAGCAGGUCAAGCAGCCAAGUUGAGGUGGCAAAGCUAAAGGUGGAAAUCAAAUUCCUACAUGAUGAAUGCACAGUUUUGAAGGAACAUGUGGACAAAUUAACAUCUGUUCCUGACAUGGCUGCAGGUCCUUCAGGAUGGAGAGGGGCAGAAGAUUCCGCAUCCUGCUUUCUGAUAGACGAAAAAAAGGAAAAGCACAAGAAGAAGAAGAUCAAGAAGAACAAAAAAUAUAACAUUUUACCUAAAAGAAACAUAUAAUCAAUGAUGAUUGUAAAUAAAUAAAUAAAUAAGUUUAAUGUUAUGUAUUGUUGUA